rnacentral:lncRNA from 1 species
AUGUUCGGGGACGCAGAGAGGAACUCGGGGCUGCCUCUAAAUUACGUGCCACAGACUCGGCGAUGCGGCCCCACGUUGGGAACGCUUGUGAUUGAUUCUCUGCGGCUGGAGGCUGACCCUUCACUCCUGUUCCUCUCCCUUGGACGCUGUGAACCGCAAGCAUCGUUCCCUCCUGACCCAUUUGCGGAGGCAGGCCCUGGCCCUCGGCGUUCCGGAAGCUUCUGCUUGGCUGUGACACUGGACAGCCUGCUGUCUCUGGCUCCUGGGGCUCCGGGGUGGCUUCGUCUUCCGGGUUUCCACCCAGAGGCUGACGCAGAACAACAUGCCCGCCCAGCCAGCGUUCGGGGAAUGAAACCCGCGGCCAUGCUGCAUUCAGGGGCCAGCUGUCCGGCUGGAGAGAAGCGCGAGGAUUUACGGCCAUCGAGGGGCCGGUCAGCAUCCCCGCCCCCUCGCUUUAUGACGCUCAGCUCUGGGAACAACACCGCUUCUGAACCGGCGUCAGUUGGCAAGCAGCUUGGCAUGGUCCUGGUGCUGUCUCCUGUCAUCUGGUUGCUAGGAUGCCCAGAGCAGCUCGGACCCCUGCCUCUGCUCGAGGAGGGGUCGCAGGGGCCGGGCAAGCUCAGCAGGUGCUGUGGGACGUGAUGGGCUGUUUGCCUUGUUACACGGGCCCUGAGGCCUGGCAGGACCAUCAGAAGUGAGUCGUGUCCCCCACUGGCUGCAGUAGGCUCUAAACCCAGCGUCCCAAAGAUUUUCUCCACUUUCCCUGGGAAAUGUGGGGCCCAGGUGGAAAAAUCAAACCCUCAGACGCAAGCCUGUGGGCUCCUCCACCGGUUUGGUGGCUGAGGGGCUCUGCUGAUCAAUAAAAUAGGCGGUGGCAUUUCA